UGGCGUGCAGCCACCACGUUAGCUGACUGUUUCCACUUGUCCUCCCUCCGGUUUCCUUCCAGGUUGUAAUUUCUGCAGUGAUUUCAAGAGGCAGGACCCACUGAUGCCAACAUUUCUGUUCGGGUCUGAGUUCAUUGUCCUGCAAAGUCGAAAAAUUAGUUCACGGACAAAGACGCUUCUGUAGGUCCAGGACCUGGCAGAGCAGCUGCUCUCCCUCAAGGUCGCUCUCAAGGCUGAAAUCAAGGUCAUGCCCAGGUCCCCCUCCUGUGGUUCCUUAUGGACUGUGGCUGAAGGCGGCCCUUAUUUCUUGUCACAUGGACUUUCCCAGCACGGCAGCUUGCGUCAUCACUAAGAGAAGUACUAGGUUUCGUCAGACACCAGAAGAUGGCUGGCACAUGACCACGAACAAUGAAUUACCACUCAGAAGCAGAUCUGGAAUGAUGGAAAUGCCCUCUCUUUUUUUGGAAGCUGGUUAUCAACGAAGAUGAAUCACCAGUGCUGUUGACUUCACUGUGAAUGGCAGGAACACCAGGGAUAGCCUCAAAGGAGACUGAUGAAUAAGGUCUCACAGACGCUACCCCUCCUGCCUCAAACCCACAGCCACUCACAGCCUGAAAUACGGAACUCAGAAUUUCAACGUUUCCUCAAACUGCGAGCAGAUGAAGGGGGAAGCAGCCAGGACAUUAGUCUGACUCCUCACAAAGCAGCUUCAGACAGUUCCAAGUCAAUAAUACAUUAAGAUCAAGAAAGUAAAAUUAACAUCUCAACAAAGAAAGGUGACAAUCAGGAAUUGGCUGAGUGGUAUCCCCCCGAAAGGGAUAUUGAAUCCUAGCACCCAUCUCA